GACGUAGGGUGCAAGCGUUUGUCCGGAUUUAUUGGGCGUAAAGAGCUCGUAGGCGGCUUGUUGCGUCGACUGUGAAAACCCGCGGCUUAACCGCGGGCUUGCAGUUGAUACGGGCAGGCUAGAGUUCGGUAGGGGGAGACUGGAAUUCCUGGUGUAGCGGUGAAAUGCGCAGAUAUCAGGAGGAACACCGGUGGCGAAGGCGGGUCUCUGGGCCGAUACUGACGCUGAGGAGCGAAAGCGUGGGGAGCGAACAGG
rnacentral:rRNA from 1 species